UACAGAGGUCUCAAGCGUUGUCCGGAUUCAUUGGGCGUAAAGGGUGCGUAGGUGGCGUCGUAAGUGGGGUGUGAAAUCCCGGGGCUUAACCCCGGGACUGCAUUCCAUACUGCGGUGCUUGAGGACUGGAGAGGAGACUGGAAUUCCUGGUGUAGCGGUGAAAUGCGCAGAUAUCAGGAGGAACACCGAUGGCGAAGGCAGGUCUCUGGGCAUUAACUGACGCUGAGGAGCGAAAGCAUGGGGAGCGAACAGG
rnacentral:rRNA from 1 species